CCUACGGGUGGCAGCAGUGAGGAAUAUUGGUCAAUGGACGAGAGUCUGAACCAGCCAAGUAGCGUGAAGGAUGACUGCCCUAUGGGUUGUAAACUUCUUUUAUAUGGGAAUAAAAUGUUCCACGUGUGGCAUUUUGUAUGUAUUUUAUGAAUAAGGAUCGGCUAACUCCGUGCCAGCAGCCGCGGUAAUACGGAGGAUCCGAGCGUUAUCCGGAUUUAUUGGGUUUAAAGGGAGCGUAGGUGGGUUGUUAAGUCAGUUGUGAAAGUUUGCGGCUCAACCGUAAAAUUGCAGUUGAAACUGGCAGUCUUGAGUACAGUAGAGGUGGGCGGAAUUCGUGGUGUAGCGGUGAAAUGCUUAGA
rnacentral:rRNA from 1 species